rnacentral:rRNA from 1 species
GUGUGUGGACUGUCCGGUAGGUAAAUCCGCUGGGCGUGAAGGUUGAGGCAUGAUGGGGAGCCCAUGGUUGUGGGUGAGUGAGUGAUCCUGUACUGUCGAGAAAAGCUUCGUGAGCGAGGUGGCGGGUCCGCCCGUACCCUAAACCGACACUGGUGGAUAGGUAGAGUAUACCGAGGCGAUCGAGUGAAUCGUGGUGAAGGAACUCGGCAAAAUGCCCCCGUAACUUUGGGAUAAGGGGGACCUGAGCUGUCGUGCACCCGUGCGGUGUGGUGGCGGUGAGGGGCGCAGAGUCCAGGGGGAAACGACUGUUUACCAAAAACACAGGUCCGUGCGAAGUCGUAAGACGAUGUAUACGGACUGACUCCUGCCCGGUGCUGGAAGGUUAAGG